UGGGGGAUAUUGCACAAUGGGCGGAAGCCUGAUGCAGCAACGCCGCGUGAAGGAAGACGGUUUUCGGAUUGUAAACUUCUGUUCUUAGUGAAGAAAAAAAUGACGGUAGCUAAGGAGCAAGCCACGGCUAACUACGUGCCAGCAGCCGCGGUAAUACGGAGGGUCCGAGCGUUAUCCGGAUUUAUUGGGUUUAAAGGGAGCGUAGGCGGAUUGAUAAGUCAGUUGUGAAAGUUUGCGGCUCAACCGUAAAAUUGCAGUUGAUACUGUCAGUCUUGAGUACAGUAGAGGUAAGCGGAAUUCGUGGUGUAGCGGUGAAAUGCGUAGAUAUCGAGAGGAACACUCGUGGCGAAGGCGGGUUCCUGGACAUUAACUGACGCUGAGGUACGAAGGCCAGGGUAGCGAAAG
rnacentral:rRNA from 1 species